rnacentral:rRNA from 1 species
UACGUAGGGGGCUAGCGUUGUCCGGAUUUAUUGGGCGUAAAGAGCGUGUAGGCGGCCAGGUAGGUCUGCUGUGAAAACUCGAGGCUCAACCUCGAGACGUCGGCGGAAACCAUCUGGCUAGAGUCCGGAAGAGGAGAGUGGAAUUCCUGGUGUAGCGGUGAAAUGUGCAGAUAUCAGGAGGAACACCGGUGGCGAAGGCGGAUCUCUGGGCCAUUACUGACGCUGAGGAGCGAAAGCGUGGGGAGCGAACAGG